GCAAAAGAGUACUAAUUAAUUUGGUUCUAAAAGAUCUGGCUGCUACUAACCUUAUUUCUAAGAAUAUGAAGGGGUAGGACUGGUGAGCCAAAAGGAUUCUUCCAGUUUGAGAGGCAUUUGGGGAUCCUCAGGGACUGGAAAGCCUCCUCAACCGGGGGCGCCAUAGCAUUUCCACCAUCCUGCGUGGGUGUUUGUUUGAGCGCAGAUGGAAUCAGGAACAGUGCAGCCUUUCUCCCGAAAAGUGCACCCCAUCAACUCAUCUGUGCUCAUGCAUGAACGUAGGGGGCGCCAUGGCAUUUCCCCCAUCAUUUCAGCACAGAUGGAAUCAGGAAUAGUGGAUCUCUCUUGGCUCACUUGUUUCACAGACUGCACUGAGAAUGGUCGUCACUGGCCAUGUGUCACAUUCGAUGGACUCAAUGGGUAAAGUAGGCAGGGAGGUGAUCGCAAAGGACACCCUUCCAGUUUGAGACUCAUUUGGGGAUCCUCAGGGACUGGGGGAGCCUUCUCUCUGGGCGCUCUGGACUCUUCCAGUGUGAUUCACCCUCACCGCGCU
rnacentral:lncRNA from 1 species